AACGAACGCUGGCGGCGUGCCUAACACAUGCAAGUCGAGCGGGAAAGCCCGCAAGGGUGAGUACAGCGGCGCACGGGUGCGUAACACGUGGGUAAUCUGCCCAGAAGCCCGGAAUAACCUUCCGAAAGGAAAGCUAAUACCGGAUGAGACCACGGGAACCUCGGUUCCCGCGGGAAAAGGUGGCCUCUGCAUGCAAGCUAUCACUUCUGGAUGAGCCCGCGGCCCAUCAGCUCGUUGGCGGGGUAAUGGCCCACCAAGGCUACGACGGGUAGCUGGGAUGGGAGGAAGAUCAGCCACACUGGAACUGAGACACGGUCCAGACUCCUACGGGAGGCAGCAGUGGGGAAUCUUGCGCAAUGGGCGAAAGCCUGACGCAGCAACGCCGCGUGUGUGAUGAAGGUCUUCGGAUCGUAAAGCACUGUCGGGAGGGACGAAUAAGGGCCGGGUGAACAAUCCGGUUCGAUGACGGUACCUCCAAAGGAAGCACCGGCUAACUCUGUGCCAGCCGCCGCCGUAA
rnacentral:rRNA from 1 species